rnacentral:rRNA from 1 species
UACAGAGGUGGCAAGCGUUGUUCGGAAUUACUGGGCGUAAAGGGCGCGUAGGCGGCCCUGUAAGUCCUGCGUGAAAGCCCUCGGCUCAACCGAGGAACUGCGCGGGAGACUGCAAGGCUUGAGUUCGGGAGAGGGAAGUGGAAUUCCGGGUGUAGCGGUGAAAUGCGCAGAUAUCCGGAGGAACACCAGUGGCGAAGGCGGCUUCCUGGACCGACACUGACGCUGAGGCGCGAAAGCUAGGGGAGCAAACGGG